GAUGAACGCUGGCGGCGUGCCUCAAACAUGCAAGUCGAGCGAGGCUAUGAAUUACCGCAAGGUAAGGCAUAGCCUAGCGGCGAACGGGUGAGUAACACGUGGGUAACCUACCUGGAAGACAGGGAUAACGAUUCGAAAGGGUCGCUAAUACCUGAUAAUAUCCAUCUGCCGGAUGGCGGAGGGAAGAAAGGGGAAACCCGCUUUCAGAUGGGCCCGCGUCCCAUCAGCUAGUUGGUAAGGUAAAGGCUUACCAAGGCGACGACGGGUAGCCGGUCUGAGAGGAUGUACGGCCACACUGGGACUGAGAUACGGCCCAGACUCCUACGGGAGGCAGCAGUUGGGAAUCUUAGGCAAGUGGACGAAAGUCUGACCUAGCGACGCCGCGUGAGGGAAGAAGGCCUUCGGGUUGUAAACCUCUGUCAGUGGGGAAGAAGGAAGUGACGGUACCCAAGAGGAAGCCCCUGCUAACUACGUG
rnacentral:rRNA from 1 species